rnacentral:rRNA from 1 species
AACGAACGCUGGCGGCAUGCCUAACACAUGCAAGUCGAACGAGACCUUCGGGUCUAGUGGCGCACGGGUGCGUAACGCGUGGGAACCUGCCCUUAGGUUCGGAAUAACUCUCCGAAAGGGGUGCUAAUACCGGAUAAUGUCUUCGGACCAAAGAUUUAUCGCCUUUGGAUGGGCCCGCGUUGGAUUAGCUAGUUGGUAGGGUAAAAGCCUACCAAGGCGACGAUCCAAAGCUGGGUUGAGAGGAUGAUCAGCCACACUGAGAGUAAGACACGGCCGGGACUCCUACGGAAGGGAGCAGUGGGGAAUAUAGCACAGUGGGCUGAGGCCUGAACGAGCUAGGCCGGUAGAGUGAUGAAGGCCUUAGGGUUGUAAAGCGCUUUUACCCGGGAUGGUAAUGACGGUACCGGAAGAAUAAGCUCCGGCUAACUCCGUG